UUUCAGAGUUAUAUUUGUUAUUUAAUAAAGAAUUUACAACCGAAAACAUAUUUAUUGGAAACAGCGCUCCCUAACCGAAUUAUCUUGCGAUAUGAAACGUGAACCAUCACACAUAAAUAUUUACCAAUUUCUCUCCACAAAUAUAAACAUACUUCAGUCAUGGUUGACAGCGCUGAGUAUUGAAAGAUGACUUGAAGAAAAACUAUAACAUUAAAACAAACUGAAUCAAAAGCAAUGUAAUCUACACGAUGGGAGAGCAACAAUGGCAUAACAACAGCAGAUUAUAUAUGUAGUACAAUACCUGCAUAUGAGCAUUCAAAUAUAUAUAUGUACAUAUAACGACAGCAAUAACACAAUAGAUGACAAUAAUAACAACUGAGCCCAUAAAGUAUAGUUGAGAAGAAUCGAACCUAAUGAGUUGACCCUAGAAGUGCCUUACAUCCAUCCUCGCCACUUUGCCAACAUCUCAUUGGUGAGACUGAAUGAGGCAACCCUAGAAUGCAACGAUCGCGGCAGACAUCGAGGCGACUUCGCUUUGGUUGAACUCAGCUACGCAGAGCGACUUGCGGGAAAAGUUAAUGAAUGUAUUGAUUGGAACGUAAACAAGUAGACAUUCAUACAUUUGUAUUGGUGGACUCCCAUGCCGGAUUAAUGAAGGUGGGCACAGCGAGCCACAAUCUCAAUGGUAUACGGAAUGCUUGCGUGAGUACACUUGAAAGUGGCCGUACUUGAGAGACGCCAACGGUGCUGGUGUGUUUAAAAAAACGUUGAAUAUCGGAGAGCACAAUGGGAACAACUGACCACCGAAUGGACAGUCAGACAAUAAAAUCAAGAUCAAACUUUUGGGCAAAAUCUAUUAAAGGUAUCACCUCAGUGGCGAGACGCAAGUGCGAAGAGUAUUAAAGCAUAAUGCGCAUGCGUGGAAGAGAGAGACCGGAUAAACAUAAACCAAAGUGUGGAGCAGGGCAUUUUUUCGAAGGCAACAUUUUUGAGUCUAUGUCGAAUUGAGGCGCUCGUUUGCUUUGAUAGCGCUAUCCACGGGGGGUGUUUAAUUCAUAGCGGUCAGAAGCCACUGGAACCAAGCAACAAUGAUUGCGGCCCUAUUCAGCGGCGCAUUUCAAAAUGUUGCUUGAUUUGUUAAGUACAGGGGGGAAGAACAACAAAGCAGCGCUUUCAGAUUGUUUCCUCUUACAUCUGUGCAGUUAUAAAACACCUACAUAUGUAUAUACAUACUUAUGUUUUAAAGAAUUGUAUUUUUCAGUUAAAACAGGAAGCUAUUAAACGUAUGUAUGUCAUG